rnacentral:rRNA from 1 species
CACGUAGGGUGCGAGCGUUGUCCGGAAUCAUUGGGCGUAAAGAGCGUGUAGGCGGCCAGAUAAGUCCGCUGUGAAAUCUCGAGGCUCAACUUCGAGCUGUCGGUGGAAACUGUCUGGCUAGAGUCCGGAAGAGGAGAAUGGAAUUCCUGGUGUAGCGGUGAAAUGCGCAGAUAUCAGGAAGAACACCCGUGGCGAAGGCGGUUCUCUGGGACGGUACUGACGCUGAGACGCGAAAGCGUGGGGAGCGAACAGG